AUACACCAAAGUGCCCACGGCAGUUAUUUUCAAGUGGUGGUAUUAUGGGGAAUUUUUAUUUUCUUUUUUAUGUUUAUCUGUAUUUUACAUUUUUGACAACAAGCAUAUAUUACUUGAAUAACUUCAAAGAUAAAUGAAAGCUAUACAUAUGAGGAAAAGCUGGUAUAUAACACCGGCAAGUAAUUAGCAGCUUGAAGGAUUUAAAGCAGACGUGUUGGCAAACAGGGAAUAUGACUUUUCAGAAUGGUACCAACGGUGCCUUGCAGAAGCUUCCAACUGCCUUUCUCUUGCCUCUGUUAUGCAGUUCGGUCAUUUCUACAGACUUUAUCUGAGAUCUCUGAAGGCUAGUCUGGCUUAAAACUACCAGUUUCAGCGGCUUGCAUUUUUCUCUUCUAUUUGGGUGGGGAAGAUUUUUCAGUUUUCUCUUAGAGACACUUUCCCUUGUGGGGCAUGAUAGUGUGUGCCUCUUUGCAGAGACCCCUGUAUGCAGAAGUAGAGGCGCUGGCCUCAGGCUCCUCCACUGCCUCUUGGACAGAAGAAGCUGAGCAUUUUUUCAGGAAGUGGUCACCCCAGUGGUCCCCGGCUUUCUCAGACUUCCUGCAGCUCUCUACACGGUGAAUCACACUGAGACACUGGCAGCAGGCACCACGGAAGGGACCCUCAAAUCUGAAGGCUCAAGGUCCUGGGAAAAGACGAAGUGGAGCAUGCCCCUUGUUUCCUACUAUUAGAGGCUGAGUGUUGGAAGUUCUUCCUAGGAUUCACAAAGAAACUCCUGCUCUUCUUCCACUUACUUUUUCCUGGAAAACACAACCUAUUUCAGUGGCAGAAAAGAUCUCCACUGUUAUAGUGAGGUCAAAGUCUGUUUCUGGAACUACCUGCCUGAUGGCCAUACAAAGACAUACACAUGCAGUGGAGAGAAAACUGCACAUUGGUGGAGGUGGGAAGAGGAUGCCAGAGUCUUCUUGUGAGCCAAGAGGACUUACAGCGAGAUUAAAAAGUGCUGUCCAGCUUCUGUGCCAUGGCCUGCACAUCUAUGACCUCAGACAUUAUUCCAGGGAGUAUCUUAGGACAAGAGCAAUCCCCUGAGGUUUCAGUCAACAGCCAUUUCCAGACCAUUAGAGGAAGGAAUGUGAGUCCAGGUUUUUGUUUGAAAAUUCCUCGUUGACGCCUUGUUGUAAUAAGAUCAAGACAUUUACCAACAAUUAGUCCUUUCUUUAAGCCAAUGGGAAACUCGAACUUCCCCCAUGUUUUUGAGAUUAGGUGAAGCCACGUG
rnacentral:lncRNA from 1 species